UGUUCUCCAGCAUCACCUACUUACGGAUUGAGAGCAUGUUGUUCAACCUUUACAUCCUCUGUGAAGAUACCGAGUCAGACCAGGUGUUCUUGAGAGUUCUUGCAGCAUUAACCAUCCAGCACAGUUCUCACCCAGGCACACAGAUGUCAUAAGGGUUAGGUGGCACCAGCCUCACAUCAAAUAGUCCCUUAAGUACAUGCACCAGAGUUGAACAAUCUUUAUAAACACAGGAUGGAAAAGGUCCAGAGAGGAGAGAGAAGAAGCUGGAAUACUUUCCCUCAAUCAUCUUUGCUCUGUGUGUGAUCUGGCACAGCUCAAGACAGUAACUUCAGUUCUGAAUACUGAUAGCACUGUAUAAGGGAAGUGUAAUACCAUCUACAGAUGAGGAAGCACAGCUGACUGUCUUCACGUCCCCCAGAUCACAGGUCCACACAGAACCCUUUUGACAGAAUUCAAGGGAGGCAGAAAUUUCAACCACUGAAAAACCAAACCAAACCAAAAUCCAAAACAUGGGUUCCACCCUAGCCAGCCACCUUCAAGAACCACAGGUCUUCAUAAACUAUUUCUGGCUAAUGAGGACUGUGUUUACAGCUGAGUGGCAAGAUCUACUAAUGAGUUGUGAAAUUGUGGGAAGCCGCAAACUCCAUUACAAGGUGGCGCUGGCUACCACUGGCCACCGCCCAUGAUUAUGGAUAAACAACCAAUGUGUGCAUGUGCAUAAGAGUUUUUUUGCCGAGUCACUGCCUGGCCCGACGCAUAUUAAUGAGGUACUGGUAGCAUAACCAAUCAGGUAUGGACACGUCACUCCUAGGCCUAUAUAAGCAGCACCAUUUCUGGGCUCAGGGUCUUUCGCCUAUGCAGUCAAUGCUCUCCCAAUAAAUGUGUGCAGAAGGAUCCUAUUGUGGCGUCAUUCUUGCUGGCGAGUCGGGCGCUCACAUGAAAUCAUUGGGUGAAUAACAA
rnacentral:lncRNA from 1 species